rnacentral:SRP_RNA from 1 species
ACAACAGCCCUGCGCAGCAGGGAUGUGUGAACUCCGCCAGGUCCGGAAGGAAGCAACGGUAAGCAUUUUCUCUGGGUGCCGCAGUAAGUUGUUGUCCG